rnacentral:rRNA from 1 species
AGGUGGUUCGUUAAGUUGGAUGCGAAAGCCCCGGGCUCAACCUGGGAUGGUCAUUUAGAACUGGCAGACUAGAGUCUUGGAGAGGGGAGUGGAAUUCCAGGUGUAGCGGUGAAAUGCGUAGAGAUAUGGAGGAACACCAGUGGCGAAGGCGACUUUCUGGUCUGUAACUGACGCUGAUGUGCGAAAGCGUGGGGAUCAAACAGGAUUAGAUACCCUGG